rnacentral:rRNA from 1 species
GACAGAGGAUGCAAGCGUUAUCCGGAAUGAUUGGGCGUAAAGCGUCUGUAGGUGGCUUUUAAGUCCGCCGUCAAAUCCCAGGGCUCAACCCUGGACAGGCGGUGGAAACUACCAAGCUGGAGUACGGUAGGGGCAGAGGGAAUUUCCGGUGGAGCGGUGAAAGUGCGGUAGAGAUCGGAAAGAACACCAACGCGAAAGCACUCUGCUGGGCCGACACUGACACUGAGAGACGAAAGCUAGGGGAGCGAAUGGG